UACGGAGGGAGCAAGCGUUGUUCGGAUUCAUUGGGCGUAAAGGGUGUGUAGGUGGCGCGCUAAGUCGGGUGUGAAAUUUCGGAGCUUAACUCCGAAACUGCAUUCGAUACUGGCGUGCUUGAGGACUGGAGAGGAGACUGGAAUUCAUGGUGUAGCAGUGAAAUGCGUAGAGAUCAUGAGGAAGACCAGUGGCGAAGGCGGGUCUCUGGACAGUUCCUGACACUGAGACACGAAGGCCAGGGGAGCAAACGGG
rnacentral:rRNA from 1 species